rnacentral:rRNA from 1 species
GACGAACGCUGGCGGCGUGCUUAACACAUGCAAGUCGAGCGGAAAGGCCCUUCGGGGUACUCGAGCGGCGAACGGGUGAGUAACACGUGAGAAACCUGCCCUGGACUUUGGGAUAACCCUCGGAAACGGGGGCUAAUACCGGAUAUGACAUUCGACCGCAUGGUUGUUUGUGGAAAGUUUUUCGGUCUGGGAUGGUCUCGCGGCCUAUCAGCUUGUUGGUGGGGUAAUGGCCUACCAAGGCGACGACGGGAGCCGGCCUGAGAGGGCGACCGGCCACACUGGGACUGAGACACGGCCCAGACUCCUACGGGAGGCAGCAGUGGGGAAUAUUGCACAAUGGGCGGAAGCCUGAUGCAGCGACGCCGCGUGAGGGAUGACGGCCU